rnacentral:misc_RNA from 1 species
GAUGAAGAACGUAGCGAAAUGCGAUAAGUAAUGUGAAUUGCAGAAUUCAGUGAAUCAUCGAAUCUUUGAACGCACAUUGCGCCCAUUAGUAUUCUAGUGGGCAUGCCUGUUCGAGCGUCAUUAAUUCCACUUAAGCCCUGCUUAGUGUUGGGAAUCUACUCUAGUGGUGCUACCCUGGAGCUACCCCUGAAAGGGGGCUGGCCCGGUAGCUACCCUGUAGUUCCUCAAAGAUAGUGCGCGGAGUUGCGUGGUCCUCUGAGCUUAGUAACUAUACACCUAGCUUUUGAGUGUCCCGCGGCGCCUGCCGUUUAAACCCCAUCUUUUAAUGGUUGACCUCGGAUCAGGUAGGACUACCCGCUGAACUUAAGCAUAUCAAUAAGCGGAGGA